rnacentral:rRNA from 1 species
AACGCUAGCUACAGGCUUAACACAUGCAAGUCGAGGGGCAGCAUGUUGGUUGCUUGCAACCAAUGAUGGCGACCGGCGCACGGGUGCGUAACGCGUAUCGAACCUGCCCUAUACUCAGGGAUAGCCUUGCGAAAGUAAGAUUAAUACCUGAUGUUGUUAUUUAUUCGCAUGUUUGAAUAACGAAAGAUUUAUUGGUAUAGGAUGGCGAUGCGUGGCAUUAGGUAGUAGGCGGGGUAACGGCCCACCUAGCCGACGAUGCCUAGGGGUUCUGAGAGGAAGGUCCCCCACACUGGAACUGAGACACGGUCCAGACUCCUACGGGAGGCAGCAGUGAGGAAUAUUGGUCAAUGGACGAGAGUCUGAACCAGCCAAGUAGCGUGCAGGAUGACGGCCCUCUGGGUUGUAAACUGCUUUUAGUUGGGAAUAAAAAGAGGGACGUGUCCCUUAUUGUAUGUACCAUCAGAAAAAGGACCGGCUAAUUCCGUGCCAGCAGCCGCGGUAAUACGGAAGGUCCAGGCGUUAUCCGGAUUUAUUGGGUUUAAAGGGAGCGUAGGCGGGAUGAUAAGUCAGUUGUGAAAGUUUGAGGCUCGACCUUAAAAUUGCAAUUGAAACUGUUGUUCUUGAGUGCACGCAGGGGUGCUGGAAUUCAUGGUGUAGCGGUGAAAUGCUUAGAUAUCAUGAAGAACUCCGACGGCGAAGGCAUGUGCCCGGAGUGCAACUGACGCUGAGGCUCGAAAGUGCGGGUAUCAAACAGGAUUAGAUACCCUGGUAGUCCGCACAGUAAACGAUGGAUACCCGCGGUCCGCGAUAUACAGUGGGUCGCCAAGCGAAAGCGUUAAGUAUCCCACCUGGGGAGUACGCCGGCAACGGUGAAACUCAAAGGAAUUGACGGGGGCCCGCACAAGCGGAGGAACAUGUGGUUUAAUUCGAUGAUACGCGAGGAACCUUACCCGGGCUUGAACUGCAGCUGCAUAGUUUAGAGAUAGACUUUCCCUUCGGGGCUGCUGUGGAGGUGCUGCAUGGUUGUCGUCAGCUCGUGCCGUGAGGUGUCGGCUUAAGUGC